AAGAGUUGCAGCAGCAACGAGAGAGUAUUUUACACAUGUGUUUACACUCAUCGUUACGCGUUCAACGUCACGCAGGUCACGUGGGCGUCUGGUCAGCUGUGGCUUUGGAUUACCCAAAUUGGCGACUCACGCCAGAGUGGAAAGCGCUCGAGUCUCCGUAACGAAAACGCUUUGCAACAAAUCCGAGAUAUGCGGGCAGCGUAGCCGAGAGCACAUGAGAUUUCACACGCAUUACACGAGGAGAGAUGCGUAAUAUAUCGAAGGUUAUAAUCUGUACAUGUAAUAGCCGUGACGCAAUGUAACGGAGAAUACCGGUUUUGUCGGAUACAAAAUGGAAUCACAGUAUUUUUUCUCCUUUUAAUUACGAUAAAAUUGGAAUAUUUAUUUUCAAAGUUGGUUUUAAACAUUUGAUUAAGUAAACCAGAUCGAACUGGAAUGAAAAUAAAGAAAAACACCAGAAAUUAUGUACGAACGCAAACCCUGGAACCGUCACAAAGUUAUUGUAUAUACGAGUACAAAAAUAAAUCGAGAUGAAAAC